ensembl:lncRNA
ACGCGGGGCUCCAGCUUGCCGCGGCCAGCCGGCCGCCUGCUCGCACCCCGCCCGGGCCGCCCCCCGCCAUGAGCGCCGCGCGCUGGCUGCAGGCAGAGUCGCUGCCGCCCGGCCGCCGCUGGCUCCAGUCCGCCGCCAUUAUUCUUUGUUCGCUGCGAGCGGCGGCGGUGUUGUGGGGCUCGGGCGGAGGCUCCAUCUUUACCGCGGCCCCUCCUGCGAGGGGAAGGCCCCGAGCGCGGGUGUCCGGCGCCUCCCCGGCCCCCCUCCGUCCCCCCGGCUCUCUCCGGCUCCUGCCUCCUCCUCCUGCUCCUCUUACCGGUGGUACAAGCUCCUCCGUCACUGCUUUCGUUCGCGGCCCGGAUCUCGCUGGAGUUUUAUUCUCUCCCCCACGUAACACACCGCGUCAAACUACACCUCCGCCGCGUCACUCACCAACACUCCGCUUCUCCCAGCCGCCCGGGCCACAGGCAGCAGCAGCCGCCGCCGACUGAGGAGCCGCAGCCAGGGAGCCAGCCAGCGCCGCCCAGUGCCGAGUGCGCAGCGGCCACUCACGGAAACAGCCGAGCUCGGCCCGGAGCCGCUCGAGAGGCCCCGCCCCCACGCUGGCGGCGGAACCUGCCGAAGGCUUUCGGCCUCUUCCGGGAGCAGCAAAGGCAUGGAUCGCGGAAGACAGGUGUAGGCGGGUUGAGACCCGCUCUGCUGGAGCGGUCCAAACCUCAAUACGGCGAGCUGAGGCUUCAAACGCCGGCUGAGGAAAUUUGGAGGAAGCGGGGUUUGAGUGCGGCCAGAUCGGGGGAUUCCCGGGGUGGCGGGGACUUGAUGGAAACCCCCGCGCGGUCUGAUCCUGCGGCGGAAGCAGACCGCCCGGGAACUUUGACAAGCCGCGAGGGUCAGGAGCCGUGCCGGCGAGCUGGAAGGGCAGGCGGACGCCGGCCACCAGCAAGGGGAAUCUGCCGAGAACUGUCUAAAGGGCCCCAGGUGGUUCUUUGCCGGAAUGAAAGCUACCUGACACGUGGCAUGUGAGAUUCUGCUUGGCUGCCUGUACAGCCAGAGCCCUGCGGGGAGGAAAACCAUAGGACACAGAAGAGGCUGAUUUGGAGCAGAGAGAGCAUCCAGAUGUGGGGGUGACAGAUGGAAUCGGCAGGGAAGGAUUUGUUCUCGGGAUCCUUAAGGUUUGUCCCAGAAAGGGUUUGUCAUGCUGCAACUGUCCUCUUCUGGAUGGUGCCUGCAUAACGUACAGAAUCUUGAGCAACCCAGGUCCCAGUCUUCUCUUCCUCAAUCAACCAAUUGUAGGAUACCAACCAUGAAGCUAUAGAUGCAUGCUUGGCAGAAAACGGCAUUAUAACUAGAGCAGAAACCAUAGGCAUUUGGGCAACUUCUUCAUGUAACUUUUUUGUGGCUUCAGGACCUGCCCAAGCACAGUCACAUAUAUACCACUUCCAUUUGAUAAUGGAUUGCUGCUGUGUACACCCUAGUUUGUGAUAUUGUGGGUCACAUAAUAUCCAGCACAUGGUAUCUCAGGUCGCCUGGUAAUUUGAUGGUCCAUUGUCAAAUGUUUGGUUUCCGCUGAAGCUCAAUAGCAG